CGUCCCCUCAGCGCCCCGGGCGGCUCCGAGCCGCGGAGGCCGCCGCGCCGCGCGCAUCUGAUGCCAUGGAUCUGCCCCGGCAAGACCUUCCCCCACUAUGCUUUUGAAUAACGUUGCUUUUGUAUGGCGAUGUUUGCCUUCAUCCCCACUUCUGCACAUCCCUCUGCUGCUGCUGUUGUAUUCCCAAGCUUGGAGGCUUGCGAGUCAGUGAGAAGAGAGAACAAGAGACACCUGCAGAGAAUGAUUCAUUCUGUGCCUGUUCGACACCGCUCUGGAUGGAACAAGUCUCCUUGCUGGGUGUUGUCUCUCCCCAUCAAUUCUCAGCAGAAGCUAGACAACCAGUUCUGACCAGAAGCCUGACUUACGGGUGCCACGUGAGAUGAAUUGUACCACAGAUGACUAAUUUUUCUCAUUCAUCAUACCUGCUUUUGGCCUAUAGAAGUUGGGUCAUCAAGGAAGAUAUUGAAGAGGACAGGCCCCAGUACCGACCCCUGAGGAACACCACUCAUGAUCAGUCGCCAGCUGGAUUUAACUCCAUUCACCACCACUCUGUGGGCUCAGCCCUCCAGCCAGUGCUUUACUCAGCAAAGAGUGUAUCUGACCAAGCCAUGAGAUGCCAGCUUCUCCAGGAGAAUACUGUGGGAGACAGUGUCAAAGGCUUUGCUGAAGCCUCGGUAGACUGUAUUGACAUGCAUAAUAUAAUCACAGAAUCACCAAGGUUGGAAAAGACCUCCAAGAUCAUCUGUUCCAACCAUCCCUCUACCACCAGUAUUUCCUGACUAAACCAUACAGAUGGACUAUGCCAGAGUUGGUUCUCAGACUUUCUAGACAACUGAAAACUAUGUUUUUCUUUGUUUUAUGUUUUUCUGUGGGAGUUGACACAUUUUAGGUAAAAUACUUGAAACAGAGAGAAAAUGAGCAGUGAUUAACGCACUUUCACCAAGAACGUAUUCUUGUUAUGGUCUUGUGGAGUACUGGAGAUUUACAGAGCACAAUGUGUAACCUCUAGGCCAAAUGCUCGUAGUUGUAAGCUGUAUGCAUUUCUGAGCCAUAGUUCAGCCUGUUGUUGGAUGUGGUAAUCUUUGAUUAUGGGACUGCUUAUUCAUUUGCUGAAAAGAUGUGACUUAUGUAGUUGAGAGAGACUGUCUUCAGUGGAAGCCUUGCCUCAGUUAUUGUAAGAAGAGGCAAGAUAUACCCAUAAAACUGCUGAAUUCUGCUGUGGAGGAAUUAAUGCAAUCCAUGUGUCUGCCACAAUGUUUUUUUGUGAGAUGAUAGUGAUGGACAAGUCACUUCAAGCAGAAUUUGGUCAGGAGACUGUUUAGCACAUGGGAAGUCAGUGGGAGUUGUUCUUAAAUAUCUUAAGUGUAAUGAAAAUGCCAAGUACUAUGAAGUAACAGGUCCAAGCUAUCACAAGCUUGGCAGCCAGAACUGGAGUUAUUAACCAGUAUGUUUUCUGGUCAGCUGCUUCACAAAUAACCAUUGUCUUAAAGUUAACAGAUUAUCAUUUUUUCCUUGAAAAGUGAAUGCCCCUUUUGAGGGUAGACAGAGUAUAUUCUAGUGAGUGGUUCAUGAGUUGACAGAUGCUUAUUGUAAUAAGUGACAUCCCAAUUUCCAGUCAGCUUUUUGGAGACUGCAGAUGGAUUUUAGCUCCUGGUCUCCAACCAGGAGCUCACAGUUGGUGCAGAGCUGGUGAGGUGACCGCCAGGAACCAAGUGAAGCCGGCAGAGAGUGAGAGAAGAAAGAUAACACCGGCUUGGUUGGAUGGGGCUGGAGGACCAGGGAAGGUACCAAUCACAGCUGAGUGAGGCCUUGGAGCCUGAAGAAGGAGGUCUAAAGAUUAAAGGGGAACAGGAGAGAAGGAAAAUUCAAGAUUCAUAUCCCUUACCAUUUCUUCUUCUUCUUCUUUUUAAAUUUUCAUUUGAAAUUAAGAACUAAAAUAAGGAACAAUGCUCAGAAAGUGAAUGCUUCUGGAGACAUUUCUUGUGUGUCUGUGCCCUUUUAUAGGUACAACAACGUAUGGUGCUUUUCACCCUAAAUCUCCUGACUUCUGGGACACAAGCUCGAGAUUGAUGCCAUGAGGUCUAUAUUAACCAUCACAUAAGUGGAAGUCUCUGGAAGAGACUCCAGAGCUGGUAGUUUGGGGCGUUCAUCUGAAACACUGGGAAUUACCAGUUGUGGUGUGAACUAGAGAAAAACAGGCUACAAAGUGUUGGUCAUUGGCAGACCUUUUAAACAUCAGGUCACUUCUAUGAGAAUUUCCUCAGGAAAUGUUCAGAAUAUUCUUGGGUUUCUUCUGAACCAUGUCAGUAAGACAUCUGAAAUACUAACAAGUGCCACAAGGUGAGAAAAUCAUUCUUCCUGACCUGGAUCCAUUCAGUGCAGUUUGGGGUACAGGAUCUUUCCAUUACAACCAGCAUCACUUUGAAGUCAUAUCUGAUACAGAACUUCUGAAUAGUUGCUGGUAUUUGACUGUGUUUGCAGAAAUUGUUUAGUACACGGUGACUGUGUUCUGCUUCAGUGUUUUUUUGUCUAUUUUUAUGUGAGCUUCUGCUCUGUUUCUGAUAGCGUUUGUAUAGAUUCUAUCAAGGAAAACAAAUGUCAUGGGGAAGUUUUAGGUAAUUUUUUUGCUGUCGGGGUGUUUUUUGUUUUUUUUUUUCCUUCUGUAAUGCAGAUGUUCCUAUUUUAAACCUGGUAAAGGCAUUUCCAUCUGAGACGGUGAUACUCUGCUUUGUACACAGAGCAGAGAGAACAGAAACACACCUUUCAAAUUGGCUCAGGGAGCAAUGUGCAGUAUACCAAUUGCUCUCUUUUCCACUGUUGUGGACAUUCCUCUGCAGGAUAAGCAGGCUGCCCAUGUGGUUGCACAGGGGUGGCUGUGCAAAUGACAUGAAACAGGCUGUAGAUACUCCUUUGGUGGAGACCCAGUAAUCUUGAUGUUUGACACACGUGGGGCCUGAUGAAGAGACGGUAAAACCCAGGGAGACUUUCCCCAUCAGCCUCACAGCUUUGAAUUCAGUUUCAGGUGCAGUUGAGGAUGUAUAUGAAGUAUACAGCUGGGAUUUGGCUGGGAGAACUGUUGCCUGUGAGAGUGGAGAGGGAAUUUUUUUCACUGCUCUGGGGUGGUGAGUGAAUUUUAUCUAACACCUUCCACUUGCCUGUAGCCAGCCUGCUCACGUUCAUACUGCCAUAGAAUGUUCUAUACUGAUUCUGCCCCCAGACUGUAAAGAACAAGAUAAUAACUUUAUUUUAUGUACUGGAGAGCUACAUUGUUUUAAAAGUCUUAGUUUAGCAGGCAAAGAUGAAUUUAUUUGCCAAAGACAUUCAGAAGCAGCUUGGGAAACUCUGCCAGAGCCCAGCUUUAACCACUAACUGGUGGCUGUUGUACUUAAUAGCUGUCAGGCAUGCUUGCAGUGUGAGGGAGACUGGCACAAAAUCCAGGAUGUAGGGGAUUUUCCUCCAAACAACAGCAAGUGCAAUCAAUUCACAAAUCGUAUAGUUGAAUAAGAAGAAAACCUGCAUCUGCAGCCACUUGCAUGUUGCAUCCCUUACUGGCUCUGCUCCCGUACCUGGGACGAGAAACAACCUUGCUCUUGUUUCACACUCUUUAUCCGUUCUGUCCAGCUCUAUUAACUUAGCGCACUGCUGAACAUUACCUUUGCUCUGCUUGCACUGCUGGCCUUUGCCAUCCUUUUCCCACCUAGAUAUCUUCGUGCUUUCCUGCAUCCUAACCUCCAUGUGUGGAACAAAGUCUGGAAAAUUCUCUCCAUCUGCUCUUCUUCAGAUCAUUCUGUCAGAUGCACUUCGACCCUGAUGCCUGUGGGGCACUGCUGAUAAUGGCCAGAGUGCAAGUUACAUUGUUUUCUAGCCAGCCAAUGUGAAAACACGUUCAUGUUGUUUCUACUGUGGUUUUCAUAUCAACCCCUUUCCUGCCAGGGAGGACAAAGCCAUAAUGCCUUUUUAGUAAUGGCCAACUGUCUUUGGAAGCUGACACAGAUAAGAGCGGCUCUCAGCCCACAAGUUGUUACCUUCCUUCUCCUCGAGUCACAGCUCCACCAGUUUGCUUUUAGCCAUCGUAUUCAUUUUGUUCUCCUUGACUUCUGCCCAUCUGUGAAUGCAGCUUUCUGGCCUCACCAAGGGACUAUGUCAGCAUCCACCCUUUCAGAAUAUGUUAACAGGUCUUGGCUCCAACCAGCAAAGGUCGUUUUUUUGGGGGGUGGCUUUCUUGCAUACGCAGCCACGGAGCCCUUUACAGAGUGACAAAAAGACUUCCUUCCCAUUUGCUAUUACUCACCUAACUGUGUUUGGAAGGGGCGGGCAUCCUAGCUAAUCAGAGCUUCAGACAGGCAAUUCCUCAAAUUGUUUUAGGGUUUUUAAUUAAAACUGUAGGCUUCAGCACCACAUGGCAGAGAGCCAGAAGCAGUCAUCUGACAAUAGCCUUCACCAUCUACCAACAAUAAGGGAAUUCCUAAGUGUACGCUCGGGAGGCUUCUGAAAUGCUGUGAACGGCUGAGAUUGGUGUUUGCAAAGCACCCUGCAACAUUUGGCCUUGCAGGUCUGCCGAUUUUUACAUGAUAUAAACAAAACCCUAUAAUCUCCACCCAGCACAGAGAUACUGACUUGUGUUUAUACUGUCCAGAUCACAGAUGCUGAGCAUGAAUGCAUGAGCAGUCCUUUUGUAUAGUGUUUGACACUUUCUGUGGCUGUCUGCGCUGUUUUUUAAUAUACAGAAUCCCCGGUUCUCCACUGCCUUGCACCCUGUCUAUUCAUUCUCACCCCUGUGAAGUGAGGGUAAAACACUAUCAAAACAAAAUGGUACCACUUUGCAUGUUUUCCACUCAGUUUGUACAGGUGUAAAUGACUACAGAAAGAACAGGGCAGAGCAGAACCUGACCCGCAGUCUGUCUCUCCAUGCGUCAGGGGUCCUGAAGUGGGGUAUGACAGAACAAACACAAGCUGUUACCUUGCCAGUUUUGCUUUUUUGUUUGCUUUUUGGUGUUGUCGUUGUUUAAAAUCAGGCAGCUUGCAGGGAUGACAGAUGCAAAAGUCGGGCAGUACUUGGUUCCUGUAGUCCUCACGUGACGUCUUCUCAUCGAGUAACGAAAGUGUUACCCGUGGCAGAGGUAGGUGGGCAUGAUUACUGGUAUGGGAGCAUGAUUGUCAAUGUGAGUAAGCUCUGAGUAGUUAAGCUGUUGCAGUUAGAGAGAAAAAUCCUCCUUGUUCUUUCUGUUGCUUGUUACGUUACCUUAGCUCUUAUAAACUAUUACAAAGGAGGCUGAACUCUCCAAGCUGGGUCCUGGAAAAGAGUGGCACUCAAUUUUUAGAUGUAGUCAUUACUCUUUUUGUCCUUGUAGCAGCAGAAGGCUAUACCCAUCCUAAGUCAUCUUAAAUCAUCUUCUGAUACUGCUUAACACAUCUCUGCAGGCACGCACUUGAACCUUCUUCCAAAAGAAACGGUGGCUCCUUUCUAUGCUCUCUACACAAAACCCAGCUCUCUGGCUCUUGCCCUACUUUCCUGAGCAGCGCACCAGACCGUCCAAGCCCAAGUCUCUGUUUUCACCCAGAGAGAGAAUUUACUUAUGACACAUAGAUAUCAUUAUCACUCCUUUGCUGGAUGUUUCCCAUAAAUACAGAUCCUGCCUAUUCCUAGGCCCUGGACUACCCUAAACUUUCUCUUUGUUUGUCUGAUUUUUUUACCUCCAGAAAUCCUGUCCGGUUACAACUGUCCAAAUCCUUCAGCUCACACCAUUACCUGCUGUAAGUGCUGCCUUGGGGCUGACCGCCUGCUCAUAAAGGAGCGGCGUACUGCCUUAGUGGUUCCAGCAGGUAGGAAGGAGAUGAAUCUUUGAGAAGGGCCUUGGCUCUGCAGUGCCUUGUGCAAUCGGUGGGUGAGCACUGCACUGUGCCCCAAUUCUGAUAAAACAUGAAGAUUUUGUAUAGUGCUGUUUUCAAAUGUUGUCUCUGGAAAGCAGGAUAAGAAAGCCAGCAGACUCGGUGGCUGCAAAAUAGAAGGCAGUGUAGAUAUAAUGUACUUUGUUAUUAACGCAAGGAAAAUGAUGUUGAAUUGCACCAUAAAUAUCCUUCCAAGAAAAAAAUAUAUCAAAGCUUUGUGUAGAUAAAUGCUGGCAGGAUCUGAAUUGAACAAAUAUUACAUAGUUCAGAGGCUGUUGUACAAUGUGGGAAGAAUGGGCAGAAGUUACGGUCCAGAACAGUAUUUUUUCUCAUCUACAAUUACAAUCUCAACCUUACCACUGCAUUAACAUAUGCACCCAUUUUUAGAAAUGAUGUGUAUUUUCGUGACUCAUUUGAGUGCUCUGUAACUAUUUGUAUGCAAAUGUGUCGCAUUAAACAUUCUCACAGUCACACACUUUCCCCUCCCAUUGGAGUGCAUACGCAGUUAGGAGUGGUGUGGGGUUCCUUCACCUCUCCUAAACAUUUCAUUUUGGUGUUCGUUUGCAGCCUUACUUACUGUAAGUGAAGGUAGGAUUCACCUUGCAGAUUAAGACACCAGUGUAUAGAGGCUUAUAAGUUUUAGAUUUAGUUGCCAACAUACAGCAGUCCAGCACUAUCGGAGGUGCUCCAGCCUUGCAUGUGGCCUUCAGCUGCUGCUCCGUACUGGUCAAGAAGUCCAUAGGUGGUGUGCCAUCCUUACCAGCCCUGCAUUAGGUGUUUUGGAUACCUAAUUACCUCUCAGAUGACAGUGACUAUAGUCAUCAGACAUCUGAUCAGUCCUCUCAGAGUCGUCUCAGGGAGUGUCCAACUGAUGCCUCAACAUCCAUGGCUGCCUUUGAGUUAUUUGAACGGCUUUGUAGCCUUUCACCACUAACUCACAAAUUGACACCUACAGAUACACACUAACAUUUCUCAUAUUCAAGGAGAUAAAUUGCGCUCUAGGUGUCACGUGUUUGUUAUUUCUGGAAUGGCCUGUGCUACCAGUACAGGAAAAAAUGCUGUAACUGAACUAAUUGAUCCAUUAUAUUGGUCUGCAGACAGAAGAUAGCACACCCAAGUGUACAUUCACUCCUGUGCUGUGUGAUAUCCCUGUGGUUUUCAGACGUUCUGCUGAUUUGGAACAUUUUCUCUGUUUUCUUCUUCAGAGCUUGCCUUCACUUCUAAGGAGCCCAGGCACACGUCUCUGCUGUGGUUGCAGUUAAGGUGGCUAAGUAGCUAAAUGGGAGUGAACUCAAGUGUCCUUUUGUUGGCGCACCUCUGACUGUUAGCUGAUCAGUUGUAGGGGGGCUAAAAUUUCUGUGCUGAUAGAAAAUUAAGCACAUUGUAAAAGAUGUAUGUAAACAAACUGGAAAGAAGAGAAAGUAGAAGCUAGGUACCCAAUCCAGCUACGAGCUCUCCUGAACACUGCAGGAUCAGGUCUUAUAAAGGAAGCACUACCUCUUCUAUUAAUGACAGCAUCAUUAGCAGCACAGAUAUAUAGAACUCUUAAAUUAAUAGUGCAGCAGAUUGCUCCUGCUGCACUUAAGAAGCAGUUCAAUGUAACAACCACAAACUAAAAUAUUACCAAGUUUGUGAACUUCAAAGCAAACUUUCCUUCUUUUUAAAGAGUUUUACAGAACAGCUGAGCAUAUUUUCUCCUACCUCAUCUUUAAAGAAAUUACAAAAGAAUGUAUACAGCAAGCCUGAAGUUCCUGCCAGUCCUUCAUCUUGCUUUUCUUGGCAUAUUGGUAGGGAAUCUGGACACUGAAAUUUACUCUUAAUGAGGACCUUGUUUUACGGAUGUGUUCUUAUUCUGUGCAGUAACGCUUAUCUGAACUGCUUGUUCUCUUAUGGAGGGCCAAAAAAGAUACCUUGAAGAUAAACACUGAAGUAACGAGUCAAAAUGCUUAUUUAUUUAUUUAUUAAGUUUGGGAAGUAUAGCUGGUCAUUAAUCCAGUUGAAUUCCCUUAUCGAUGUACGUAUUGGUUGAUUUUAAGUUUACGAUAUAUCCACAGUCUUCUGCAAUCUUCAUUUCAAGGAUUGGUCAACUGAGAGAAAAAAGGUGUGUUUUCUUUGGCUUUUGAUGGAUUAAACGUAGAGGCAGCAAAUAUUAGGUAGGUUUUGGUCAACGUAAAUGAAAGCUGCAGGCAGUAGUUUAAAUGGGAACAGUGAUUUAGCUGAAGUGUACCUGAACAGGAACUGAAGGUGGAAAGCAAGAAUGUGAAGAAGUGGCCAGGGCAGCAACUGUGCCGUGGAGCAAAUGAAGAGAAGCUGAAAACACUUACCUAGAAAUGAAAAAAUAAGCCCAACUAACUAGCAACCAGCAGUAGGCAAGAGGGAUUAAAGCAAGCGACAGAAAGCCCAGAUAUGCAGAAAUACAUUAUGCUUACUGCUGAUUGCCAAGAAUCAUUAAGUGACUGUCAUUGAAUGCUGGACUAAAAGCAAGGGAGAUGAAAAGUCAGAGCCUCUUUGAUGGGAGAGAGAAACGAUGUGUCUGCCCCUUGAAAGUCACAGGCAGGGUUUCUACUGGUUUUAUCAGAGCAGAAUCGGACCCUCUGUGAGCUAAGCUGAUGAAAAAUAAAUGCUUUUCUUUUGCAGUCCUACAUUUAUAUGCAAUUCAUACGUUGUUUUACAUUCUAUAAACGGAGUGUUUACACUUAGGAAAAUUUUCAGGGACUGAGAACCCUGCAGUAUCUUUCCUUGUUUUUUCACUGGUAGUGGAGAAUCUCAGCUCCUCCGUCCUGUGUGCUUCUGUGCCUCAAACCUCCAGACACUGCUAGCUGGGAAAUGGUGCAGCCUCUGUGUCUGGUAGCUCGUGUCCUUUUCUCAGGGGCUAAUAGGGCUGUCAUUCAUGUUGGAGAUUUUUCUCCCAGCUCAUUAGUAAAACUGGAAUUAACUGAGUAACUCGCUGCCCCAAAUAGCCGAGUAGAUGCGGGAGGCAGGCUGGCAGUAGGCUCAAUUCCAGCCAAUCUGUGGUUCCCUGAGCAAGGUGUCCGAUUCCUUUAUAAACUUCCGUGGGUCUGAUUCCAACCAGAAUCGUCUUUCCAUUUGUUUUCAUUCGAUAGCAAUCUGGUAGCUGUGGUUGGCCGAAGAGCAACGUGUCUCUAACUUUGUGGGGAGGGGAGAAGGGGAGUCACUGAAUCAAACAGCCCAUACUCUGAGUCAUUGCAGGGAAAGCACUCUUAGGCACGGGAAUGCCAGGGGAGCUGCAGUACGGCUUUCUGCCGGCAAGUAUGGGUCUGAAGAGCCAACGUCACCUUUAGUUCCUCCUCACACUCUGGAUUAGAGCAGCUGCAUGCAAGAACUGCUGAGCUGCUCUGAACGAGGAAUGAACACCAUGCAGAUGCGGUGCCAGCGUCCCAUUCCAAGCAAGCAGUCUUUUCCCUUCAUCAGCAUUGCCACGUGCAAACAACAUCUUAGAGGGUUUAUAGCUUUGUGGCAGACGGGGGAUGCUCCGCUGCAAUCUCAAGAUAAUAGGUGUAGUAACUUUGUAAAUACUUCGUACGAGCUGUUCGCAGAGGACAAUGUUUGUAUUCCGAGUUAAAAGACUUUGUAGAGUGAUUGCAUUGUUCUUAAUAGUAGCCUAUAGGAACAAGCAACCGGGGGAGGAGGGGGGGAGACGCAUCACACCUAGAUAAUAGAUAAACAAUCACUUGGCAAAUAUUGGAGAAGCAAUUGAAACACAAUGCCAUAUAUCUAUGCCCCAGGCUGUAUUUAAAUAGCCCGAGCUGGGAAUAAAGAGGUCUAAAGUGCCUUGAAUAGUUAAAAAGCUCUUUCCAAGAAAGGAUGCAAUCAGUUGUCAGUAGGUGUUCCAAACACAAGAGAAUACCCAGUUUCUAUUGCAUCUGUUUCUUUUGCGUCCGUCCUCUCCCAGCAAGAGCUUCUUCUCCACAAGCACUGGCAACUUCUCUGCCUUCCCACCCCCGUGCUGCUCUUCCAGUCAGCAGCCCGGCUCUGUGCUGGGUGUUCGAACUGCUUGGAAAUCCUCCUGCCUGCACAAGAACAGCCAUAAUGUCCUGCAGAGCUGGCGUGUGUGAUUUCUUGAGAACAGCGGUUGCGUUUCCUCUUCGUAACUCUGUGGUGCCAAUGGGCAUGUGGAAAACCUUGGUAGAAACCAUCCCU
ensembl:lncRNA